rnacentral:rRNA from 1 species
AUUCCAGCUCCAAUAGCGUAUAUUAAAGUUGUUGCGGUUAAAAAGCUCGUAGUUGGAUUUCUGCUGAAACAAACCGGUCCGCCCUCUGGGUGAGCAUCUGGUUUUGGUUUGGCGUAUGCUUAGACUUUGCAGCUGCACUUGACUGUGUGGUGCGAAGGCUGAGCCUUUUACUUUGAGGAAAUCAGAGUGUUUCAAGCAAGCCAUUGCCUUGAAUACACUAGCAUGGAAUAAUAUGAUAUGACUGUGGUUUUAUUUUGUUGGCUUUUAGAAUUAAAGUAAUGGUUAAUAGUGGUAGUCGGGGGCAUUCAUAUUUAACUGUCAGAGGCGAAAUUCUUGGAUUUGUCAAGGAUGAACGACUGCGAAUGCAUUUGCCAAUGAUGUUUUCAUCG